GAUGAACGCUGGCGGCGUGCCUAAUACAUGCAAGUCGAGCGAACAGAUAAGGAGCUUGCUCCUUUGACGUUAGCGGCGGACGGGUGAGUAACACGUGGGUAACCUACCUAUAAGACUGGGAUAACUUCGGGAAACCGGAGCUAAUACCGGAUAACAUUUGGAACCGCAUGGUUCUAAAGUGAAAGAUGGUUUUGCUAUCACUUAUAGAUGGACCCGCGCCGUAUUAGCUAGUUGGUAAGGUAACGGCUUACCAAGGCGACGAUACGUAGCCGACCUGAGAGGGUGAUCGGCCACACUGGAACUGGGACACGGUCCAGACUCCUACGGGAGGCAGCAGUAGGGAAUCUUCCGCAGUGGGCGAAAGCCUGACGGAGCAACGCCGCGUGAGUGAUGAAGGGUUUCGGCUCGUAAAACUCUGUUAUUAGGGAAGAACAAAUGUGUAAGUAACUGUGCACGUCUUGACGGUACCUAAUCAGAAAGCCACGGCUAACUACGUG
rnacentral:rRNA from 1 species